rnacentral:tRNA from 1 species
GUGGGUGUAGCUCAGUGGUAGAGCACUUGCCUUCUAUGUGUGAGGCCCUGGAUUCAAUUUCCAGUAUCAUA